UACGAAGGGGCUAGCGUUGCUCGGAAUCACUGGGCGUAAAGCGCACGUAGGCGGAUUGCUAAGUCAGGGGUGAAAUCCUGGAGCUCAACUCCAGAACUGCCUUUGAUACUGGCGACCUUGAGUCCGGGAGAGGUGAGUGGAACUGCGAGUGUAGAGGUGAAAUUCGUAGAUAUUCGCAAGAACACCAGUGGCGAAGGCGGCUCACUGGCCCGAUACUGACGCUGAGGCACGAAAGCGUGGGGAGCAACAGG
rnacentral:rRNA from 1 species